CCCUUAGAUGUCCUGGGCCGCACGCGCGUUACACUGAUGCAUUCAACGAGCUUAUAACCUUGGCCGAGAGGCCUGGGCAAUCUUGUUAACGUGCAUCGUGAUAGGGAUAGAUUAUUGAAAUUAUUAAUCUUGAACGAGGAAUUCCUAGUAAACGCAGAUCAUCAAUCUGCAUUGAUUACGUCCCUGCCCUUUGUACACACCGCCCGUCGCUGCAACUGAUUGGGUGACCUGGUGAACAUCUUGGACCGGCUCACUCAAUUUCGAGAGGACUGGAAAAGGCCGUAAAUCAGGUACAUCUAGAAAUUGCAAAAGUCGUAACA
rnacentral:rRNA from 1 species